rnacentral:rRNA from 1 species
GUGGGGAAUAUUGGGCAAUGGGGGAAACCCUGACCCAGCAACGCCGCGUGAAGGAAGAAGGCUUUCGGGUUGUAAACUUCUUUUAUGAGGGACGAAGAAGUGACGGUACCUCAUGAAUAAGCCACGGCUAACUACGUGCCAGCAGCCGCGGUAAUACGUAGGUGGCAAGCGUUGUCCGGAUUUACUGGGUGUAGAGGGCGCGUAGGCGGGAUAGCAAGUCAGGUGUGAAAUCCGGGGGCUUAACCCUCGAACUGCACUUGAAACUGUUAUUCUUGAGUGAUGGAGAGGCAAGCGGAAUUCCUAGUGUAGCGGUGAAAUGCGUAGAUAUUAGGAGGAACACCAGUGGCGAAGGCGGCUUGCUGGACAUUAACUGACGCUGAGGCGCGAAAGCGUGGGGAGCAAACAGGAUUAGAUACCCGGGUAGUCC